UAGGCCCGAAAUGUCAGCCUUCCUGCUUCUCUGAUGCUGCUUGGCCUGCUGUGUUCAUCCAGCUCUACACCUUGUUAUCUCAGAUUCUCCAGCAUCUGCAGUUCCUACUAUCUCUCGAUCAGAAACGACAGCUUUCCUGCUCCUCUGAUGCUAAUAAGGCGAAUAUAAAGGACAGGUUUGCAGACAAUCUAAUCAAGCCAAAUAUCACAUCAGGAGCAAAAUAACAUUGGCCUUUUAAUGUGCAGGAAGAAAGCACUGUUCACAAUGUGGAAAAAUCUCUCAUGUGCUCAGAAUGUGGACAAGGCUUCAGUGAAGCAUCUGCUCUGUCAAAGCACAAACGUACUCACUGCAGGGGGAGAUAUUCCUGUAGUGAUUGUGAGAAGCGAUUCAAUUCCUUAUCCAACCUGGAUUCUCAUCGGCGCUGUCCCUCUGAGGAGAGACCAUUCACCUGCUCUGUCUGUAGGAAGGGAUUCAUUUGGCCCUUCAGUCUUGCUGCGCACCAGCGAUUUCACACUGGGGAGAGACCGUUCACAUGCUCAGUGUGACAAAGACUUCAUUUAUUCAUCCAACUUGCUGACACACCAGCGAGUUCACGGUGAAGAGAGGCCAAUCACCUGCUUUGUGUGUGGGAAGGGAUUCCAAGAUUCAUCUGGCCUGUGGAAGUACGAGGUCAUUCACGCCAACGAGAAACCAUUCAAGUGCUCUGACUGUGGAAAGAGGUUUAAGCAAUCGUACCACCUGCAAGUACACCAACGCAUUCACUGGGGAGAAGCCAUUCAGCUGCCCAGAGUGUGGGAAGGGAUUUAGUCAGUACACUAAUUUGGUGGAACACCAGUGGAUUCAUAAGGAAGAGAAACCUGUUAAAUGUUGAGUGUGGAAAGGGGUUUACUCAUUCCUCACGCUUGAGAGUACAUCAGCUCAUUCGCACAGGGUAAAAACCAUUCAUUGUGUGUUUAUUUGGAUUCUGCUGCUGCUGCUGUUCAUCACCACCAGACUGAACUGGGUUUACUCUGACAGGGUUUAUUCCUGCUGGUCAUAAACAUCCCAACAACUGGAGUGGGAUUUAAUAUUCUAGAUAUGCCAAAGGUGGAGGGUUAAGGAUUAUUUUCUAAAAGGCUUACUUCCAUUAUAUGUAAGUGUUAGGGCUGCCCCUGACUGAACAGCACAAAAUGGCCAACGGCUGCCCAGGGCUAAUGCAGCAGAGCAUGGCUGACAGUAGUUUAGUGCUUGGGAACCUCCUUAAAUUCAAGGUCAGCAGUAGCUGUUGACACACAAGACGUAGAUAAUAACAUUUAAUUAAUAUGGCUUUCACAAGUAAAACAAUAGGCAAUCUGUAAAGAAAUAAUAACAAUCCCCCUUUGAUACAAUAGCACCUCAAGGUUGCAGCUGACUCAUAAGACAUGGAUAAGAACAUCUCACACUAAUUCGUUGUUCAAUAAUUAAUUAUAGAUCUACAUAUCAUUAAAGGAAAAGAUUCAAACCAGUUUCAGUCAGUAAAGGCAACCUCCUUAUCAUUACAGAGAAAUGAAGUAGAUUGAAUCAAAAAUCAAUUUUCUUUUGUAUUUCCUGCAAUGAUAACUGCCAAUUAAUUAGAUAAAUUUAACAAGGUGCAGCUGGCAAAUGUUACUUUAAAUACAGUAUUCAUUAUGAAAAGCCUCAAGAAAAAAGUGAGUCUGGAAAACCUCACAAAGGAUCGGGGUGGACUAUAAGCCUGUCCAUUGCUUUGUUUUACUGAAGCAAGCUGAAAUCGCAUAAGAUGCUAUACCGGAGAGUUGAUUUACUGAGGAACAACUCUGCUGACCAAUAGUAGUCAAAGGUGGGGGGGAAGGGGGCAUGUGCACUGUAAGCUGCAAGUGUAUAAAUUAAGACAUUCUGAAGCUCUUUGUGUGCCUUUUUGCUUUCUGAUGUAAGUGAACAGUAAUACACAAUAAAGGUCACAUGAAUCCA